AUGUGGCUGCACGAACAUGAGGACACCUUCAACGCCAAGCACAGAGCCUGGCUCGCUGGAAACGCUCGGAUCGGCAGUUUCUCGCGAGCCAGGCUGAGUGCGGCGAGAGGCCGCACGAGCGGGAGCGAGACGAGGGCGAGGGGGGUGGCGGGAGAUGGAAAUCUGGCGUGCCGUCCCGGCGCCAAAUUAGCCUCACCCCCCUUUCACUCGCUCACCCAUAGCCACUGCCCCCUUUCUUCCCUACUGCCUCACCACCGGCGGCGGCUGCGAUUUCAGAUCUGCGCUAGAGGCGAUGGUGGCGGCGGUGGCGGAAGAGGCGGCGGCAUUUGCGGCGGAUCUGGUGCUCCCCUUGUUGUUGGCCACUGUCUGGUCGACCUGGUCUGUGCCAUGGCUCCCCCUACGCCGUCCUCGUCUUCGAUGCCCGUUAUGGACGGACGAAUGAGGCUGAUAAUCCAGGCAGCAACACUGAUUAGUGUGAUUCAGGCAUGGGUCAUGUUCAUGCACCAAAGAGCUGUUUGUCGUGCUGGGAGACCUUUGAUCCGCUAUGGCCCAUUGUUUCCCCGGGAACAGGAGAUGAUCCAAAAUCUGAACUACAUCUACAACUGCAAUGACGUUGAGGCUCUGGGGAUGCUUAGAAUGAAAAGAGCACCAUUUGCCAGGCUUGUCGAGACCUUCAGGAGCAGGGGGCUGUUACAAGAUAGCAUUAACACCAGUGUCGAAGAGCAAGUGGCCAUGUUCCUCCAUGUUGUUGGCCAUAACCAGAGGUUCAGGGUCAUUCACAACACGUUCAGGAGAUCGAUGGAGACCAUAUCUAGGUACUUCAAGCAGGUGCUUUUUUCUAUUGGGGAGCUUAGAGGAGAGAUGAUCAGGAGACCAUCUGGUCAGACUCCACUCAAGAUUCGCGGAAGCCCAAGAUGGUAUCCAUACUUCAAGGAUUGCAUUGGGGCAAUAGAUGGUACUCAUGUCACUGCCAGAGUUCCUAGGUCACAGUCUGCAGCAUACAGGGGGAGGAAGCACUACACAAGCCAGAAUGUGCUUGCUGCUGUUGACUUUGAUAUGAAGUUCACAUAUGUGCUGGCUGGCUGGGAGGGGUCAGCGCAUGAUGCUAACAUUCUCACUGACAACAUGAGUCAACCUGAUGGGAUCAACAUCCCUGACGGCAAGUUCUACCUUGGAGAUGCUGGCUAUGCAUGUCGGCCGUGUAUUCUUCCACCCUUCAGGAAAACAAGAGUAACUGUUGAGAGGGCAUUUGGAGCUCUGAAGAAUAGGUUUAAUAUCCUGGAUCAGAAGCCAUUCCACCCAUACUCCACUCAGGUUAAGCUAGUUCUUAUUUGUUGCAUUCUGCAUAACUGGAUCCUCCAGUGGGGCUUUGAUGAACACGUGCCUGAGGAGGAAGAUGUCCAGCCUGACGAUGUUAGGUCAGUGGAGGAUUUGAAGAUGGAAGAAGAACACGAAGCAGCAGCAGCAGUAGCAGAAGCAGCAACAGAAGCAGAAGCAGAAGAAGAGGAGAGGAAGAAGAAGAUCUGGUAG
rnacentral:rRNA from 1 species